rnacentral:lncRNA from 1 species
AAUUCGCGGCCCCGCAGACGCCGACACGGCCGACGGUCGGAGCCGCAGCGGUGCGGAUCGGUGCGGUCGAUGCGGUGCUCCGCUGCGGGGCGGUGACGCUGCUCUGCGGGAAGGAAGGGGGCUUUCAACCUCAGGCUGCACCCUCGGAUAAUGGUUUAAAAUCGUUGCAAUGCGAAUCCCACCGCUCAAAGUAAAGCGCUCGGUCCCCGCACCACCGGCCCCGUCCCCACGGCCUCGGGGCGGCCUCGGAGCGCUGCGGGCCCCGGCGCUGCCUUCUGCUGGCACUCGGCGUCCAGGAAAUCCGCAAAGCGGCGGGACGAGUGGAAGCCGUGACAUCACUCGGGGCAGGAGGCUUCGGGCAGAAGGUGCGGAGCUCUGCGUUCCCGCACCGAGACACGUCCGCGUCCCGCCGCCCCCGGACCUCGUUCCCUCCAAACCCUACAAACGGACGGAAAUCAUCCCCAUAGCCGCCGCUGUCCGAAGAGAUCGGUGCCUGGACCGGGAGCUGCCCUCCGUGCGGCAGCCGUGCUGCGGAACGCCAGAAGUGUACGCACAGUGAGUAGGACGCGCUGCGAUAAAACGGCGAGUCCCUCUCUUUUCUAUUUCUUUCUUUUUCUUUUUUUUUUUUUUUUUUGCCUUUUUAAAUAGUAACUAUAAAAGCGCGGAGUUCUGUUUUUUUUUUCCUGUUGUUUUCCUUUGUUUUGUGUUUUUUGUUUGUUUGUUUUUGUUUUAGUUUUCCUUCUCCCUCCUUCGCAGAGGAGGGGAGCAAUGCUCUGAAGAACAAACCCGCCGCGAGCGCCGGCGGAGGCAGCGUUGAGGCUGAGGCAGCGCUUCCAGGCACUGCCCCCUCCGCGCACCGACCUCCGUGCUGACACGGGGCUCCGCGGGCUCAGCUCGUUCAGCUGUCCCAGUCAGCGUCACGGCUUUCAGAGGGCCGCGGUUACGCUUUCCCUUGCUGACGGUGCAUGCAGAACUAUCUUUCUCCCUUCUCCACCUGGACCUGCUAUCAAACCCGAGAAAAACCAGCCAAGCAAAAGAAAUAGCGGAGUCAUCUGCAUCGCUCGGGGCAGCCUCCUGCACUGCCCUACCCAGGGGUCUCGCAGAGGAGCAGUUCUGGGGCACUAUCCGUGCCAAUGUGGUCACGGUGCUGACAUAGUGCUGGUACAGCCUUUAGCAGCCAGCUCUCCACCUGCCACAAAUGAAAUCAAUGCGUGGCUUUGAUGCACAGCUCCUACACGGGGAAAUGCUCCGAGCCCGUCGGUGAUGUGAUGGGGAGCACGAGCAGAAAUCCCUCAGUGUGGGGCUUAGGGAUGGCUGUGCUACACUUUCAGCCACAGCCAAACCCUGCACAUCACUGCCACAGCCAUGUAUAGGCACGGAGCCACAUGCAGAGCUGCAGGCAGUGAGUGCUCUCUGCCAUGGCCGGGCACAAACACACUGUGAGACAAAGGUGGGUGCACCACGUCGGUAAUUACAGCCUGUCUAAAACCACAGCCAUGGCUGUACCACCUAUUUCUAGACACUAAACAAGCCCCAGACAGAAAGCAAGGGAUUGUCCUUAUUGCGCUGGUGUUCAAUCCAAGCAAGCCCCACAUCUGCAGCCCAAUUAGAGAUGUGCUCCCUGAUAUCACAUCAUCCCCUAUGCUGUGAACAGGCAACGUGUGCUCAGGCUGCUCGCUGUGUGCCCCGUUCACUGCCUGGAAUAGGACAGUUUACAGCUCACAAAAUUAAGUUAAUGAUUAUAUCUGUGCAGAGCGGGGCCUCCAGUUUUUAACAGCAAAAUGAAGGAACAGAUCAAACCCCACAUUCCGUGGGUUUGCAGCAGUGUUGGUCUGCAGGUUCCAGCUCUCGGCUGCCGUCACACCUGGCUGUGUGUUUAUGGAGCAGCAGGGAGGUGCUGCAGGCAUUUAACACAAUAAUGGCUAAUUGAAACUUUUUAUUUCUAAAAUAACACUAUGUUUUAUAUAUAUUAAAAUCAUAUUAAAGCUGACUUGCCAGACUCUCCCGAGCGCCACUACAGCCAGUUAAAAACCCUGUUAAGAGCCAAUUAAAUAACGAAGCUUUCUAUAACAGGCGCAUGAUAUAAAACAAUUAAGUGGUGGAGGCUUUUUUCUGAUAGUUUAUUUCUCUGCCUUUGCAUUUCUGUGCAGAUCUUAUUUUAAAGUGUGGUACAGACCCACCAAAGUGCCCUCCCAGCAGAGCACUCCCAUGGAACCAAAUAGGCUGGAGCUGGAGGUGCUGCAGAGCGCACCCACUGAGCACUAAAGAAAAUCACACUAAUAAGAAAUGCUUAAAGAAAAGUUCCCAGACCGAACACCCAGGUGUCUGAAGUCCCACAGAUGGUCCCUGCAGGGUGGGCUCGGUGGUGCCAAGCUGGGCACCAAGCAGUGUGCCUGAUGUCCACGGCCCCAGGCAGCCUCUGUGGCCACCACCAGCCCAGGGCACGGCCAGCAGCUAUGGGGAGCUUCACCAGCAGAAGGCAAUGGGAACUGGGGAUCCCAGGCACAGCGCACGCAGAAGGUGAGGGUGAUUUACCACUUUGGGAUGGAAUAAUGUUUUUGGAAUAAAAUUAUGCUGCAU